AAGGGUGGGAGAAGCUAGGGGGAAUGCGAAGGCGAGAGAAAGAGAGCGAGGAUAAAUAGAAGGGGUGAGAAUGAAAUAGCUUUCUCGCCCCCCUUCCAUUUUAACUCGCUCUCUUUCUCUCCCCUUUGCAUCCCCCCCCCCCGAGCUAAUUCUCUCGCUCUCCCCCCUAAAAAGCGCCUGCUACGCAGGCUAGGUCGCCAGUGCUCUCACUUU